GUAGGUGAACCUGCGGAAGGAUCAUUACUGAAUUGAAAGGAAGUUGAUGCUGGCUGCCCAUCUGGGUAGCAUGUGCUUGCUUCCGACAAUCUUAUCCAUACACCUGUGCACACUGUGGGGGAGCGCCUUCUCGGAGCGCCCUCAUUUAUAUUACAUACACCUAAUUUGGAAAUUGCACGUGACUUGCGUCGUAUGGCGCUUUAAACUAAAUACAACUUUUAACAACGGAUCUCUUGGCUCUC
rnacentral:misc_RNA from 1 species